rfam:Catonella morbi ATCC 51271 genomic scaffold Scfld1, whole genome shotgun sequence.
CGCAGGAUAUUUGAGGAGAGCCGUCCUUAGUACGAGAGGACCGGGAUGGACGAACCGCUGGUGGACCGGUUGCAGUGCCAGCUGCACGGCCGGAGAGCCAAGUUUGGCAGGGAUAAACGCUGAAGGCAUCUAAGCGUGAAGCCCCCUCCAAGAUAAGAUAUCCCAUAGCGUAGGCUAAUAAGACCCCUUAGAGAGUAUGAGGUUGAUAGGUCAGUGGUGUAAGCGGAGUAAUCUGUGUGCCUUCUGAUACUAAUAGGUCGAAGGCUUGACCAA